rnacentral:rRNA from 1 species
CACAGGUAGCCUCACUGCCUUAG